AGUAACGCGUGGGAACAUACCCUUUUCUACGGAAUAGCCUCGGGAAACUGAGAGUAAUACCGUAUAAGCCCUUCGGGGGAAAGAUUUAUCGGGAAAGGAUUGGCCCGCGUUAGAUUAGAUAGUUGGUGGGGUAAUGGCCUACCAAGUCUACGAUCUAUAGCUGGUUUUAGAGGAUGAUCAGCAACACUGGGACUGAGACACGGCCCAGACUCCUACGGGAGGCAGCAGUGGGGAAUCUU
rnacentral:rRNA from 1 species